AUGAACGCUGGCGGCGUGCCUAAUACCUGCAAGUCGAGCGAACAGACGAGGAGCUUGCUCCUCUGACGUUAGCGGCGGACGGGUGAGUAACACGUGGAUAACCUACCUAUAAGACUGGGAUAACCUCGGGAAACCGGAGCUAAUACCGGAUAAUAUAUUGAACCGCAUGGUUCAAUAGUGAAAGACGGUUUUGCUGUCACUUAUAGAUGGAUCCGCGCCGCAUUAGCUAGUUGGUAAGGUAACGGCUUACCAAGGCAACGAUGCGUAGCCGACCUGAGAGGGUGAUCGGCCACACUGGAACUGAGACACGGUCCAGACUCCUACGGGAGGCAGCAGUAGGCAAUCUUCCGCAAUGGGCGAAAGCUUGACGGAGCAACGCCGCGUGAGUGAUGAAGGUCUUCGGAUCGUAAAACUCUGUUAUUAGGGAAGAACAAAUGUGUAAGUAACUAUGCACGUCUUGACGGUACCUAAUCAGAAAGCCACGGCUAACUACGUG
rnacentral:rRNA from 1 species